rnacentral:rRNA from 1 species
CAAUAGCGUAUAUUUAAGUUGUUGCAGUUAAAAAGCUCGUAGUUGGAUUUCGGAUGGGAUUUGCCGGUCCGUCGUUACGAUGUGCACUGGCCAGUCCUAUCUUGUUGUCGGGGACUAGCUCCUUGGAUUCACUUCCUGGGACUAGGAGCUGACGAGGUUACUUUGAGUAAAUUAGAGUGUUCAAAGCAAGCCUACGCUCUGAAUACAUUAGCAUGGAAUAACACGAUAGGACUCUGGCUUAUCUUGUUGGUCUGUGAGACCAGAGUAAUGAUUAAGAGGGACAGUCGGGGACAUUCGUAUUUCAUUGUCAGAGGUGAAAUUCUUGGAUUUGUGAAAGACGAACUUCUGCGAAANCANNNGUCAAGGAUGUUUUCAUNAA